rnacentral:rRNA from 1 species
UAAUCAACGCAAGCUGAUGACUUGCGCUUACUAGGCAUUCCUCGUUGAAGAGCAAUAAUUGCAAUGCUCUAUCCCCAGCACGACAGAGUUUAACAAGAUUACCCAGACCUUUCGGCCAAGGUGAUGUACUCGCUGGCUCUGUCAGUGUAGCGCGCGUGCGG